CUUUUUCCUCUCUUUGAGUGACUCAGAUCUGUAGAUUACCACGGUUAGAUCAGAGCCAACCCCCCUGAGAUUUACUGGCACGUUGUGUGUUGUUAGAGGAGCUCAGCUGGUCUCAGGCCAGCAUGCGCUGCUUUGAAUCGCGCUCCCGCUCGACUUUAAAUAACUUUCUUAGGUCAGCAUAAAAACAUGAAGCAAACAAUUUGUAUCUCCUGACGCUUGCAGGGAGAAAAAUCCCAUGACUUCUCAAUAAUUAGGAAUAAACUAGUUGUGCAAACUGGGAGGACUAAGUCUGCAAAUAAUUAAGCAUUGGGAUCAACCAAAAAAGGUUAUUUUUGAUGGAAGACUGAGGACUUUGGACAACCAGUGCUAAAAUUUAUCAGCAUUCCUAAGUGAGAAAACUUCUUUUUAACAGUAAAAAGAGAUUUUCUCACUUAGGAAUGCUGACAAAUUUUAGCACUGGUUGUCCAAACUGGAACUUGUGGUUUGAGUAUCUUUAGGGAGCUUUAAAUAUCACUUAUCAAGUCCUCAGUCUUCCAUCAAAAAUAACCUUUUUUGGUUGAUCCCAAUGCUUAAUUAUUUGCAGACUUAGUCCUCCCAGUUUGCACAACUAGUUUAUUCCUAAUUAUUGAGAAGUCAUGGGAUUUUUCUCCCUGCAAGCGUCAGGAGAUACAAAUUGUUUGCUUCAUGUUUUUAUGCUGACCUAAGAAAGUUAUUUAAAGUCGAGCGGGAGCGCGAUUCAAAGCAGCGCAUGCUGGCCUGAGACCAGCUGAGCUCCUCUAACAACACACAACGUGCCAGUAAAUCUCAGGGGGGUUGGCUCUGAUCUAACCGUGGUAAUCUACAGAUCUGAGUCACUCAAAGAGAGGAAAAAGUGGAAGUCGAUUCUGGAAAGAUCCACAAAUUCUUUUUCACCAAGAUUUUCAUCCACGGUUAAAGAAGGACAUCUUCUCCUCCAGUUUAAACAUUCAUUUUUAUUCAAUAUCCAACUUUAACACCUUUAAAGAGUUGGAUAUAGUUUGUUCUGGCAUUUAAAUUGUCUUUUUGUUGUAUAGAAAAGAGAAAAAUCAUCUACAGGGAGCAGCACUGUUGGACGACUUAUGUAAAUAUUACUGCCACAAUCUUUUGCAGAAAACACUGAAUCACUUCUUUUAGAGGACACUCACCAAUUUGAUUUCUGUGUUGCAAAAGAAAAAAAUCAUAGUCAUUAAAAGACAUAGAAACUCCCAAAUGCUGUGGGAAGAAUUCUUGAAUCAAUUGUAAUUAAUUCUUAAAACAAAUACCUGCACAGCUCAUUUAUGCAAAUGAGGCUGCAGGAUCCAAAGCUCUUGCAGACCUUUUCAAGCAGAAUGAAAGAGACCUGAAAGGGUCUCUAUUUAGGAAUAAAUCACCAAUGGAAGUUCAGGAAAGAAUAUAAAACCAUUCAGGAGAAGAAAAGAAACGGCGGCUCAGUCAGUGUUUGAGGAAAUAACGAGGAGUAAUUCAAUCGUUAAGCAGGAAAUGAUGGAGUCACGACCAGACAAAUCUGCAAAUAACUUUGUUGGAGUUCUUUAACUUCUGUUACAGCUUUUCUUUUCUGAAGUCUUCCUCAUGGAAAACCUCAUCAAUUACCUUCCAAUAUUUUCCUAUAGUGAUCAAAUGGUCUGGAUAAAGAUCUGGAUGGUUGGAAAUUUAUCUGAGUUUUCUGAAUUAAACGUAUUUCGCUGGAUUCAGAUGAUUAACCCAAGACUCUUCUGUAAUCUUGUUCUUCUUAGUAGUCAUCCGCGUGCAUCACCAGCCUUCAUCCCACCAUGCUGCUUGUCUAUUCAACAUCUACACCAACCGUCUCCACGUCCUUCAUUAAAAA